rnacentral:rRNA from 1 species
CAAUAGCGUAUAUUAAAGUUGUUGCAGUUAGAACGCUCGUAGUCGGAUUUCGGGGCGGGCCGACCGGUCUGCCGAUGGGUAUGCACUGGUCGGCGCGUCCUUCCUUCCGGAGACCGUCCCUACUCUUAACUGAGCGGGGGCGGGAGACGGGACUUUUACUUUGAAAAAAUCAGAGUGUUUCAAGCAGGCAGCUCGCUCUUGCAUGGAUUAGCAUGGGAUAAUGAAAUAGGACUUUGGUGCUAUUUUGUUGGUUUCGAACACCGAAGUAAUGAUGAGAAGGGACAGUCAGGGGCACUCGUAUUCCGCCGAGAGAGGUGAAAUUCUCAGACCAGCGGAAGACGAACCACUGCGAAAGCAUUUGCCAGGGAUGUUUUCACUG